rnacentral:rRNA from 1 species
UACGAACUGUGCAACCGUUAUUCGGAAUCACUGGGCUUAAAGGGUGCGUAGGCGGCGAUUUAAGUAGGGUGUGAAAUCCCCCGGCUCAACCGGGGAACUGCGCUCUAAACUGGAUCGCUCGAGUGAGAUAGGGGUGUGUGGAACUUCCGGUGGAGCGGUGAAAUGUGUUGAUAUCGGAAGGAACGCCGGUGGCGAAAGCGACACACUGGGGCUUAACUGACGCUGAGGCACGAAAGCCAGGGGAGCGAACGGG